GUAGGUGAACCUUCGGCUGGAUCAUUA
rnacentral:rRNA from 1 species